UGCAGGUGAGAGGGACUGAGCGAGGUAGGACAAGGACAAACAGACUGAAUUUAUGGAGCAGCUGGAGCCUUAAAGAGAACUCCACUGCACUGCAGAUCAACUCAUCUGUCCUUCAGUAUUAGUUUUGAACCUGAUUUGGCGAAGCGUGGAGGACAGAUCAUUUUGUGUCAGGCCCAAUUUCCCCUUCACCGCCACCGACAGUCUUCUCCACUUCUCUGCCACAUGUACCAGCAUGAGAUGACUCACUGCUGUGGCUGGUUAUUUAGAGCAGGACUUCACUGUGGAUGCUUAGAACUUCUUUUCAUGAAUAAAAAAAACCAAUGUGGGUUUAUACGAUCAGUCCAGCUCCACUGUAAGAUUUCAAUACAUCUAUACUGGCGGCAUUCAACUGAGUUCCACUUUCCAUUAGUCAGAAAGAGGAGCACAACAAAUGUCUUCUGUUCACAUGUUGACUUUCCCUCAAUUUUCUCUCAUUCAACGACUAAAUUCACCUGUCUGCAUCAUCAUCACCACUGACUUGCAUGACAACAUAAACUCCAGGGGGCUCUGUAGUGGGGAAACGCUCAACCUUUAGGUACAACAUAUGGUGAACCACAAAGGUCAAAUAACAAUGAUUCGAAGCUUUGAACUGAUCUCACGGUCUUCUUUCAUUCAGUGGAGCUGGCUCAGGAGUCAUCACAUGACCUUAAUCUGAACUUCCGGUCACAAUAUGGCAAGUGGUCGUAUACAAGGGAAAGCACAAAGCCCUUUGAAACUCAAUCCACUUAAUUAUUUUUAUUUGCAGAUCAUUUUCUCCAUCAAGUAAUUAUUUCUUUAGUAGAGAGAAUGUCAGAAAAUAUAAAAAAAUGCCAACUAUAAUAUCCCAGAGCAAAAGGUGUCAUCUUUAACUUUUUAUGACCUGCAAUUAUUCAGUGUAUCAUCAUAUAUGACCUAUGGAGGAGGUCAACAUGUUAAUUUCUUUUGUAGUUCUGAGAAAAAAAGUCAGAAUUCUGAGAAUAAAGUCAGAAUUCUGAGAUUAAAGUCAGAAUUCUGAGAAAAAAAGUCAGAAUUCUGAGAUUAAAGUCAUGAUGAAGUGAGAAUUAUGGGUAAACUAUCUGUAAGGAGCCAACUUCAAUGGGAGAGUGGCAUGAGAGUUAAUGAAGGAGGGACCCUGAAUAUGUUGGAUUUAUUGGAGUUUCUGCGUGUUCGAGGGGUCCCAGAGGAAGCCAUUGCAGUAGAUGGAAGAGCAAAAGGUGAGAGCAAAAGAAAUACACGUUGGUUUGGUGCAUGGUGUUUUUUCUAAAAACAAAGGCUACAGAUAUGAAGGAUGCUAAAUCCAGAUUUUCUUUGUUUUUACAGACGCCAUGCACCAAACCAACAUUUAUUUCUUUUGCACUCACCUUUCUCAAUAAAUCUGAUAUAUUCAAGUUUUUUGUGUCUUCCCUCCUUCGUUAACUCUCAUGUCACUCUUUCACUGAAGUUGGUUCCUUACAGAUAGUUUACCCAUAAUUCUCACUUCAUUCUGACUUUUUUCUUUUUUCUCAGAAUUCUGACUUUAAUCUCAGAAUUCUGACUUUAAUCUCAGAAUUCUGACUUUAAAGUCAGAACUACAAAAAAAAAUUCACAUGCGGCCCUAAUCCUCUUCCAUAAUGCCCAAACGUUUGCGUUUAUCAAAAAAAAAAAGUUGCAGACAAAUUUUCUGUUGACUGAUCAAUCUUGACGUUGACUGCUCUUUUUGGCCCUUCAACUAAUGAUCAGUCACUCAACUCAAGUCAUUUAUCAGCAACAACUUCACAGCCUACAAAGCCAAAUGCAUCAACAAAAGCACUAAAACACUAAAACCAGAGCCUGCACUUAACCAUGACACACUGAAACCAACAAUCACAUCAGCGCCAACUUGAUGACAGAAUUACACCCUGUAUUUAAUGACUAAAGCAGCCUCAAAACACUGCACAGACAGAUUCUCUUCAAGCGAUAAACAUGCUGCUUGGUGAACGUAUGCCCGAGCCUUCAGUGACUGAGACCGAACCAGAGAAACAGUGAGGCAGCAAACACAAUAGACAGGAGGCAGUGAGAGAGCGAGAGAAGCAGAGUGAUAAACACAACCCAGGCCGUCAGCUCCCCAUUGUCCUGGCCUGAAUGUGCUUUUGUCACUGCAGCAUACAGCCACACAGUCCAGGCCAGUCUAUGACAACGUGCCAGGCGGGCAUCACUUCCAGGCCCUGGCAUGACAAGCGGUGUGAAAGCAGAGUGAACAGCAUGACAGCAAACACGUCAAUGUCUACACACAGCUCGGGAUGAGAAAUACAGCUGUGAAAUAUGA